CACCCAGACAUCUGUGGUAAAGCCGAAGACUUUAGGUCAUCAGGCACGACAGGAAAGGGAUGCAAAAAUCGCUAGAGAACUUCAACGAGCCUUCCAGUUGAGACUUGAAAGUGAAAACUUCCUGCUUACCAAAAAUGUGGCGUACAAUGUUAUGCAGUUGCCUGAAAAAAAGCACAAAGAAACCCUUGGCUUAAGCUGAAGUUGCCCUUCACUAGAGUUCAUCUCAAGCACAAACAGCAAAGCAGCCACAAGAUAAGUAUAAGCUUCAGCCAUCACUUCCCCUCUCAUGUACACUGAUGGCACUCAGGACUAAACUGUACCAUACCAUUCUUUGCUGUUGGUUCCUGAUUUUUGCUAGGAUUCUGUGAUUCAUGGCUUGUCUUGGUAGCUUAGGUGGUGCAGUCUUUUUUGGAACAAGCAAGGAGAUCAGUGACAAAAAAUAAUCUCUCUUUAGGAAAAGACUAUUCAGUACUUUUUUGGCAAAUAUCAGUUCAGUGCUUGCCAUACGUAGCAUAAAACCUGCUGUAGAAUUUGAGGCCAGGUGUCCAAAGAGGAAAUGCACCUGGUCCAUGGUAAUUUGUUCCUCCAGAGAGCAGAGUUACUGCUUUGCAGUGCCUGGUGCUGUGUAGUAGUAGUGUGCCAAUAAAUCACUGGUUUGGACAUAAAAGGAAAGCAGAGACUUUGGGUUGAAGAGGUCUACAGGGGGGCUGUUUAGCACGGGAGUCAUUUGUGGAUUGCCUGAAGGUGUUCAGUGUGUAGCCUCCGGAAUGUCUUCCACUUGCUUUAGAAAUGCUGUUGACAGAUAAGCAAUUGUG